GCACACACACCUUGUGGAUAAUGACAUGUGUGCUUCCUUUUAUUACUAUUGAAAUGAAGGGUAUUUUUUUCAUUUUAGAUUGAUGAUACGUAUCAUCCACUAAAGGUCUUCGAUAGCCACUGCAUCAUGCAAUUACUCUUCUGUUCAUUUUGUUCUUCUGAUGUUGUUGUUCCAAUUUACCACAUACUACUAAAAGCUUGGUCAAGCUUUUUCGUUGACUCGGUUCUUGUUCUUCGUUAUUAACACUGUGACUUCAAUUUGUUACGGUUAAUUUAUGCUAUGCUUGGAGAAAUACGACACAUGGCUUUCAAAAUAUAGCUUCAAGAUGAGAAUAACAAAGCCCCACUCCGCGCCCACAUUUCACUGAACUUCUCUUUUAUCUCAGCUAUUCCUUGAUAAUUUUAGCUUCAAUGGUGAAUGAUUUAGAAUUCUCCAUAUGUCAUUACACUGCCACAUAAAUAAUGGAUCGCUGGGAUGGAUGAGCAACCUUCUAUCUCACCUUUGUAGCUGCAAUGAAACAAUGGCAAGGUGGACAUGCAAAGUUCAGAUGGUGCAUAAAUUCCACCCUCAAGUGAGCAAAGAUCAAACUGUGCACUUCCAAACUACAAUUGCACGAGAAGAAAACUAACUUUUCAGCAUGACAAUACUCAAGUCUGAUGACGUCGCUGAAUAUCAUGACAUUCCUUGUAGAAGAGUGCACCUUAAGUCCCCCUACUUAGGCCCAUAGAGGCAACCUUAAACUCUUCAAAGGACGGUAACUACAAAUAGUAUUCACACUUUUUGUAAAGAGAAAUACUCUGUAAAAAUGUUUUAAUGAAUAACUAUUUUAUUUGUCAA